AUGCCGUUUGAUUCCGUGAUCCCUCUAGCUUUGCUUGGUUGUUGUUCAAGACGUCAAAGCACCCAUAAGAAAUGAUGCAUAGGAUUGAUCAAGGUACACUUAGGUGGACUUGGACCUUAGUGACAUUAAAAGAUGCAAGACUAGUUAAUUUUGUUAUAUUUCUUUGUUGUUAAGACAUUGUAACUCUUUUAAUCAAUAAAACAAAAUUUCAAAUUUCCAUGUGUUAUGAAACAAUGAUUCUGUUA
rnacentral:lncRNA from 1 species